GGGGGUAUAGCUCAGCUGGUAGAGUGCAUGUCUGGCAUACACAAGGCCCUGUGUCCAAUUCCCAGCACCACCA
rfam:Ictidomys tridecemlineatus contig053293, whole genome shotgun sequence.